UACGGAGGGUGCAAGCGUUGUCCGGAAUCACUGGGCGUAAAGGGUGCGUAGGCGGGUCUUUAAGUCAGGGGUGAAAUCCUGGAGCUCAACUCCAGAACUGCCUUUGAUACUGAAGAUCUUGAGUUCGGGAGAGGUGAGUGGAACUGCGAGUGUAGAGGUGAAAUUCGUAGAUAUUCGCAAGAACACCAGUGGCGAAGGCGGCUCACUGGCCCGGUACUGACGCUGAGGUGCGAAAGCGUGGGGAGCAAACAGG
rnacentral:rRNA from 1 species